UGCCAUAAACCCCAGGCCCUGUCCCACCUCUCCUCCCCCUCCCACUGCCCUCUCCCAACCUCCCCGCUCACCCCCAUCUAUGUAAAAAAGCCAUAAAGCCUUUCUCCAAUCGCCUUCUUGGAGUUUAUGCAACCCCCAGAACACAGGUUGAUUGGAAAGGUCUCUCUCCUGGAUAACAACAAUUCAAUGUGCCUUGACAUUUUAAUAGCCUGCCGUCCUGGUGAACACAAUCGAGCAAGGCAGCGAAGCAAAAAUCAUUAGGUAAGCAAGAUAAUCUAAGCGGAAUCUGCUGCCUGCACUCUCACAUCUGGGGGCAGGGUGCACAGCUGGGGCGGCCCCACGAAGCUGGGCUCUUCCUGCCCUGCAGCGCCUUUGUAUGUGUGCUCGGAUAUAUACACUCGUUCAGUUGCAGAUGCACAGCCUUGCGACAGGUUUUAGGAGAUAAACACCCUGAGGCAAGGACACUCAUUGAAGCCCCGGUAUGAAAUAGCUCGAGAGUAUACGAAUUUAAACGGAACCAAAACGCCUGCCAUCCCAUCUAACAACCACCAAAUUAAACCUAACUGCUAUCAGCUCAGGCUUCGGUAUUGGUGGGGAGCCCUAACACCAACCAUUUAGAAACCACUUAGAAACCUAUAUUUCCAAAAUACAUUUGUAUUUGUUUAUAUGAAGAUUCUGAAUCUAAUGCCUGCCAUGGGUAUAUGGCUACAUAUGUUUAAGUUACAUAUUUAUGUGUGUGUGUGUGUAUAUAUAUAUACACACAUGCACAUAUAUAUACAUAUACACACAACAUAAAAACAUUUAUGCUUACUGUAUGCCAGGUACCAUUAUAGAUGUAUCAUGUCUGCUAACUCAUUGAAUCCUUAAAACAUAACAUAGUACAUUAUUCUCCCCACUUUAUAGACAAGGUAACUGAGGCACAAAGAGUUCAAGCAACUUGUCCAAAGUCAUCCUCCAGUAAGUGGUGGGGCCAGGACUUGAACGCAGGAAGUCUGCCUCUUGUAUCCAGGCUGUCAUCCACUCAGCCAUGCUGUCUCGUAAAAAGAAGUCAAGUCACACAAAUAAUGUUACAUGUCUUUAAAAGGUGGCUGGACUCAGACACAUCACGCUCCAGUUUGGGUUCCAAGGUGCUUCUCUCUGGAUUUUCACCUGCCUUGCCAAAAAUGAUUGAUUACGCCGGGCCGACUGGGUGUCCGGCAAUACCCAACAAAUGACUUUGGCCCCUAACAGCAGGCCUUGGCCAGAUAGAAAUCAAUAUUUCACCAUUAAAAUCUAUCAAAGAAGAGUUAAGGCACCAUCUGUCCCUGCCGCCUCUCUAUGGUGUGUGAACAUUAAAUCCGACACUUGUACUACAUGGGUAAUCAAUAUAUAGUGGUUCACAGAUCAUUUGUGGUUCCCUUUUAGCAGUGAUGGAUGUCUGGAAUCGUUGUGAUUCAUUUUGUCAGACCAUUAAACAAGAUUCUGUCC
rnacentral:lncRNA from 12 species